rnacentral:rRNA from 1 species
GAUGAACGCUGGCGGCGUGCCUAAUACAUGCAAGUCGAGCGAACGGACGAGAAGCUUGCUUCUCUGAUGUUAGCGGCGGACGGGUGAGUAACACGUGGAUAACCUACCUAUAAGACUGGGAUAACUUCGGGAAACCGGAGCUAAUACCGGAUAAUAUUUUGAACCGCAUGGUUCAAAAGUGAAAGACGGUCUUGCUGUCACUUAUAGAUGGAUCCGCGCUGCAUUAGCUAGUUGGUAAGGUAACGGCUUACCAAGGCAACGAUGCAUAGCCGACCUGAGAGGGUGAUCGGCCACACUGGAACUGAGACACGGUCCAGACUCCUACGGGAGGCAGCAGUAGGGAAUCUGCCGCAAUGGGCGAAAGCCUGACGGAGCAACGCCGCGUGAGUGAUGAAGGUCUUCGGAUCGUAAAACUCUGUUAUUAGGGAAGAACAUAUGUGUAAGUAACUGUGCACAUCUUGACGGUACCUAAUCAGAAAGCCACGGCUAACUACGU